AUUGAACGCUGGCGGCAUGCUUUACACAUGCAAGUCGAACGGUAACAGGCCUUCGGGUGCUGACGAGUGGCGAACGGGUGAGUAAUGCAUUGGAACGUACCCAGAGGUGGGGGAUAACGCAGCGAAAGCUGUGCUAAUACCGCAUGUGAUCUGAGGAUGAAAGCGGGGGACCGAGCAGCAAUGUUUGGCCUCGCGCCUUUGGAGCGGCCGAUGUCGGAUUAGCUAGUUGGUGGGGUAAAGGCCUACCAAGGCGACGAUCCGUAGCUGGUCUGAGAGGACGACCAGCCACACUGGGACUGAGACACGGCCCAGACUCCUACGGGAGGCAGCAGUGGGGAAUUUUGGACAAAGGGCGCAAGCCUGAUCCAGCAAUGCCGCGUGCGGGAAGAAGGCCUUCGGGUUGUAAACCGCUUUUGGCAGGAACGAAACGGUGUCCGCUAAUACCGGGCGCUAAUGACGGUACCUGCAGAAUAAGCACCGGCUAACUACGUG
rnacentral:rRNA from 1 species